UACGAGGGGGGGCAAGCGUUGUUCGGAAUUAUUGGGCGUAAAGGGUGCGUAGGCGGUUUGGUAAGUCUUAUGUGAAAUCUACAGGCUCAACUUGUAGUCUGCAUGAGAAACUGCCGGGCUUGAGUAUGGGAGAGGUGAGUGGAAUUCCUGGUGUAGCGGUGAAAUGCGUAGAUAUCAGGAGGAACACCGAUGGCGAAGGCAGGUCUCUGGGCCGAUACUGACGCUGAGGAGCGAAAGCGUGGGGAGCGAACAGG
rnacentral:rRNA from 1 species